rnacentral:rRNA from 1 species
GGUUAAGCGACUAAGCGUACACGGUGGAUGCCCUGGCAGUCAGAGGCGAUGAAGGACGUGCUAAUCUGCGAUAAGCGUCGGUAAGGUGAUAUGAACCGUUAUAACCGGCGAUUUCCGAAUGGGGAAACCCAGUGUGUUUCGACACACUAUCAUUAACUGAAUCCAUAGGUUAAUGAGGCGAACCGGGGGAACUGAAACAUCUAAGUACCCCGAGGAAAAGAAAUCAACCGAGAUUCCCCCAGUAGCGGCGAGCGAACGGGGAGCAGCCCAGAGCCUGAAUCAGUGUGUGUGUUAGUGGAAGCGUCUGGAAAGGCGCGCGAUACAGGGUGACAGCCCCGUACACAAAAAUGCACAUGCUGUGAGCUCGAUGAGUAGGGCGGGACACGUGGUAUCCUGUCUGAAUAUGGGGGGACCAUCCUCCAAGGCUAAAUACUCCUGACUGACCGAUAGUGAACCAGUACCGUGAGGGAAAGGCGAAAAGAACCCCGGCGAGGGGAGUGAAAAAGAACCUGAAACCGUGUACGUACAAGCAGUGGGAGCACGCUUAGGCGUGUGACUGCGUACCUUUUGUAUAAUGGGUCAGCGACUUAUAUUCUGUAGCAAGGUUAACCGAAUAGGGGAGCCGAAGGGAAACCGAGUCUUAACUGGGCGUUAAGUUGCAGGGUAUAGACCCGAAACCCGGUGAUCUAGCCAUGGGCAGGUUGAAGGUUGGGUAACACUAACUGGAGGACCGAACCGACUAAUGUUGAAAAAUUAGCGGAUGACUUGUGGCUGGGGGUGAAAGGCCAAUCAAACCGGGAGAUAGCUGGUUCUCCCCGAAAGCUAUUUAGGUAGCGCCUCGUGAAUUCAUCUCCGGGGGUAGAGCACUGUUUCGGCAAGGGGGUCAUCCCGACUUACCAACCCGAUGCAAACUGCGAAUACCGGAGAAUGUUAUCACGGGAGACACACGGCGGGUGCUAACGUCCGUCGUGAAGAGGGAAACAACCCAGACCGCCAG